rnacentral:rRNA from 1 species
AGCCAUGCAUGUUUCCGCAAUCAGGGACGAAUAGCUCAGUAAAACUGCGAUGAUUUAGUCUGGCUGUGUAGAUAACUACGUGAAAAUGUAGCUAAGGGAAGGCAGAAUAAGACGCAGGACUAUCAGUUAGUUGGUAGUGUAAUGGACUACCAAGACAGUGACGGUUGACGGGAAAUUAGGGUUUUGUACCGGAGAGGGAGCCUGAGAGAUUGCUCCCACGUCCAAGGACGGCAGCAGGCGCGAAAAUUGCCCACUCUUUGCAGGAGGCAGUUAUGAGACGUGAAGAUGAGUAUCUUGUAAAGAGGGAUAGGAGAAUUGGAGGGCAAGUUUGGUGCCAGCAGCCGCGGUAAUACCGACUCCAAGAGUGUGUAUGAGAGAUGCUGCAGUUAAAAAGUCCGUAGUCAUAGAAGGGCAAAGAGAGAUGCGAGGUCUCACAGUGCGAUGAUGGAGGAGCCGAUGGGGAACAUAGUAUACCAGGGCGAGAGAUGAAAUGCCAAGACCCCUGGUGGACUGAGCGAGGCGAAGGCGAUGUUCUUGUAGGCAUUCGGUGAUCAAGGACGAAGGCUGG